rnacentral:tRNA from 1 species
UCUAAUAUGGCAGAAUAGUGCAUUGGAUUUAAACCCCAAUUAUAAAGAUUAAACUUUUUUUAGAA